GACUAUAAACUUGAUUCUAAAAAAGGGUAAUCAAAUAAAAUAAAUCAGGCUCAAAAGGGUUAACAAAGGGUAUAAAGUAUUUGGGUAGCAUAAAAAGGGCCUCCCAGGCUCGAAAACACCAAAUAUAGUAUCAUUUUGCAAUCAUAGAUGAUCUACCUGUAUUCUUGGGUCUUUUUCAGUGUAAAGCUGAAUGAGAAAUACUUUCCUCGCUGUGAAUGACCCUUAUAAUUUACUUUUCUUGGAUUUUGUAUUGAUGUAGAAGAUGCAUUUUGCAACUAACUGAUCCAUUUCAAGUUGUUUGGAAUACACAUUCUAUCGAAAGACACUUUCUAUCUCUUAGUGCCAAAUAGACCUCAACCCAUCCGAUUAUCCUUAAUCCCGAUCUUCUCAAAUGAAUGAAAAGCUAGAGAUCCUUAACUUCCAUGAGCAUGAUUUCUUUGAUUCCAUAUAAACUUGGCUCAUGCUCAUUUCUUCAAUAUUUCAUAUCUUUAUUUAUUUUCAAAAGUGUCUCUUUCUCACUUGUUCAAUUCAAGACUAAAUCAAUUCUCUAAGAUCUACUCAAAAAUUUCGCAUGCAUGCCAUGUAACUAAAACUAGUGGGAAAAGAACUAUGCACAAAAUGGACACAAAAUGACUAACUGCUUUUUUUUAUAGAAUAAAGGAUAGAAGGGUCUGAAAAAAAUAAGAAGAAAAAAUGAUAAAAUAAGCUACCAUGGCUAAAAGAUGAGUGACUUUUCAAUUACUAAAUAACACCUUAGCCACACAUUUGCACAUCAGCAUUACUACAAUAUUUAACUAUUUGGAUUCAAUACUCAAAUUUUGAUAAUUAUCUCGAGCAGUCCAUAUCCUAUUGCUUAAAUCUAAUAAAGCCAUCCCCAUAUUUGUCUUCAUUUUCUUAUUUUUCAGCGCCAACUUGACUACUUUCCUUUUCAUGACCUUGGAUCAACAGCAAUGAUGUUUGUUCCAUCGAUUGAGAAGAUGUUUUUUUUUUCUGAGAGAUCUUGGAUGGUUUUUGUGACUCACUAUUGCAAACUAACAAACCGACCACCUUUGAUUAGCUUUUAUUUCAAAGCAACAAACAUGUUAGAAUAAACACUCUCUUUCUUUCUCUUUUCUCUAUUGUUUUUUGUUUUUUAUCUCACUCUCUUUUUUGUUUUUAACCAUUCGAUCGAAUCUGAUAUGGGUUGCGUACGUAUCAUGACGCUGCAUGAAUCAAAUCUACGUAGUUCGGGAAGAUUAUAAAUAAAGGAACUAAACUAAAACAGAAUUUUGUUUUGAAUUUUUUUACUUUUUUUAAAAUUUUUGAAAGGAAGACGUAUAAAGAAGAAAAUAUUUUUUGAUUUCUAUUGUUUUUUUAAUUUUGAUUUUUUCCCCUGAAAGUUCUAAAGAAGAAAGAAA
rnacentral:lncRNA from 1 species